rfam:Pteropus alecto contig24108, whole genome shotgun sequence.
UUACUUACCUGGCAGGGGAAAUACCACAUUCAUGAAGGUGAUUUUCCCAGGGUGAGGCUCAUCCACUGCAUUCCACGUGAGCUUACCUCUGCAAUUUCCCCAAAUUUGGAAAACUUGAUUGCAUAAUUUGUGGCACUGGUGGACUGUAUUCAUGCUCUCUCCUG